rnacentral:rRNA from 1 species
GACGAACGCUGGCGGCGUGCUUAACGCAUGCAAGUCGAGCGAAUGGAUUAAGAGCUUGCUCUUAUGAAGUUAGCGGCGGACGGGUGAGUAACACGUGGGUAACCUGCCCAUAAGACUGGGAUAACUCCGGGAAACCGGGGCUAAUACCGGAUAACAUUUUGAACCGCAUGGUUCGAAAUUGAAAGGCGGCUUCGGCUGUCACUUAUGGAUGGACCCGCGUCGCAUUAGCUAGUUGGUGAGGUAACGGCUCACCAAGGCAACGAUGCGUAGCCGACCUGAGAGGGUGAUCGGCCACACUGGGACUGGAACACGGCCCAGACUCCUACGGGAGGCAGCAGUAGGGAAUCUUCCGCAAUGGACGAAAGUCUGACGGAGCAACGCCGCGUGAGUGAUGAAGGCUUUCGGGUCGUAAAACUCUGUUGUUAGGGAAGAACAAGUGCUAGUUGAAUAAGCUGGCACCUUGACGGUACCUAACCAGAAAGCCACGGCUAACUACGUGCCAGCCGCCGCCGUAA